rnacentral:rRNA from 1 species
AAAAGUGGCGAAAGGGGCAGUUAUGCGUGGGUAACCUACCCUCGGGACGGGGAUAGCCCUCCUAACGGAGGGGUAAUACCCGGCGAUUCGGUUGGGAGGCAUCUCCUGGCCGGGAAAUGAAUUUCGCCUGGGGAGGGGCUCACGUGCUAUUACCUAGUUGGUAAGGUAACGGCCUACCAAGGGAAAGAUGGCUAGCGGGUAUGAGAGUACGACCCGCGCCACUGGCACUGAGACACUGGCCAGACUCCUACGGGAGGCUGCAGUCGAGGAUCUUCGGCAAUGGGCGCAAGCCUGACCGAGCGACGCCGCGUGCGCGAUGAAGGCCUUCGGGUUGUAAAGCGCUGUCGAGGGGGAGGAAAAUCCGCAAGGAUCUGACCUAUCCCUGGAGGAAGGACGGGCUAAGUUCGUGCCAGCAGCCGCGGUAAGACGAACCGUCCUAACGUUGUUCGGAAUCACUGGGCUUAAAGGGCGCGUAGGCGGGCUGCCAAGUCAGGGGUGAAAUCUUUCGGCCCAACCGGAAAAGUGCUUUUGAUACUGGCAGUCUCGAGGGAGGUAGGGGCGCGUGGAACUAUUGGUGGAGCGGUGAAAUGCGUAGAUAUCAAUAGGAACGCCGGUGGCGAAAGCGACGCGCUGGACCUUUUCUGACGCUGAGGCGCGAAAGCCAGGGGAGCAAACGGGAUUAGAUACCCCGGUAGUCCUGGCCCUAAACGAUGGGUACCAGAUUGUAGACUUGACAUGGGUUUACAGUCGAGGCAAAAGUGUUAAGUACCCCGCCUGGGGAGUAUGGUCGCAAGGCUGAAACUCAAAGAAAUUGACGGGGGCUCACACAAGCGGUGGAGCAUGUGGCUUAAUUCGAGUCUACGCGAAGAACCUUAUCCUGGACUUGACAUGUGCGAAAGCGCUGGGAAGUAGCGUGCGGAAACGUUACGCGAACGGUAUCCAAUCCGGAACCCAGUACAGGUGCUGCAUGGCUGUCGUCAGCUCGUGUCGUGAGAUGUCGGGUUAAGUCCCAUAACGAGCGAAACCCCUGUCUCCAGUUGCCAACACGUCAUGGUGGGGACUCUGGAGAGACUGCCGGUGUUAAACCGGAGGAAGGUGGGGAUGACGUCAAGUCCUCAUGGCCUUUACGUCCAGGGCUGCACACGUGCUACAAUGGCGUAUACAAAGGGAAGCCAACGCGCGAGCGGGAGCAAAUCUCAAAAAAUACGCCCCAGUUCAGAUCGAAGGCUGCAACUCGCCUUCGUGAAGUUGGAAUCGCUAGUAAUCGCGGGUCAGCAACACCGCGGUGAAUGUGUUCCUGAGCCUUGUACACACCGCCCGUCAAGCCACGAAAGGGAGGGGGGGACUAAGUCGCCGCGCCAACCCGCAAGGGAGGUAAGCGCCUCAUCCCCAAUUCCUGAUUGGGACUAAGUCGAAACAAGGUA